GAGAACUUGAAAAUGAGAGAGAGAGAGAAAGAGAGAGAAGAAAAGCAGCUCUCCAUGGGGCCCGGCUAUGUCCCCUCUCUGCUCUAAGAUGUGAUCUUCAGCUUUUCCCAGUGCCCCACCAUUUUAAUUCACCUUCUCCCCCUCUCUUUCCCUGUAGUUCUUUCCAAAAAUGCACAACAGUUCUUCUUCACCAGCCAUGUCGAUGUCCGAAAAAGGGAAAGAUUCAGCCGAAGGCUCCUCAAGAUCCGCCGGCGACCACCAGCCCCAGCCUCCCCUCAGCCGCUACGAGUCCCAGAAGCGCCGCGACUGGAACACCUUCGGCCAGUAUUUGAGGAACCACAGGCCGCCGGUUUCACUAUCACAGUGUAACUGCAACCACGUCCUCGAAUUCCUCCGGUACCUGGACCAGUUCGGGAAGACUAAGGUUCACUUACAUGGCUGCGUCUUCUUCGGACAACCGGACCCUCCUGCUCCGUGCACGUGUCCUCUCCGGCAAGCUUGGGGAAGCCUCGAUGCAUUGAUCGGACGGCUCAGGGCUGCCUAUGAAGAGCACGGGGGCUUGCCGGAGACAAACCCUUUUGGCAAUGGAGCAAUUCGUGUUUAUUUACGCGAAGUUAAGGAGUCCCAAGCGAAAGCGAGAGGAAUUCCGUACAAGAAGAAGAAGAAGAGGAAGAUCAAGCCGAAUCACGAGCUCGUGGCUUCGAAACAAUCCGGUUAGAAGUCUUUUAGCUUCACGAGAGAAAUAAUUCAGCUUCAGAAGGGUUGCAGAUAAACAGGGUUGUCCAAUAAGGCUAUCUGAAGCUUCCUGUCAGAGACGUUGCAAAGGACUGUGCAACGGGGCAAUGCUUGCUGCUUAGGCAAAUGUCCAAGGCUUUAUUUAUUUCAGCUCAAAUAGUAUGUCAUAUAUAUAUAUAUAUAUAUAUAGUUGCCCUCAUGGUUACUCUUCGAUCUCCAUCGCAUGUACUAGCGAAUAAAAAACCUUAAUUAGCUGUUACUUUUCUUAGAUCACAUAUGUAGAUGAGUUUGUGAUCUCGUCCACUAAUAUUGUACAUAUUAUUAA